rnacentral:rRNA from 1 species
CUCCUACGGGAGGCAGCAGUGGGAGGAAUUUCCCAGAAUCGGUCUGGCGAAAGCCUGACGCAGCGACGCCGCGUGAGGGAUGAAGGGCUUCGGUUCGUAAACCUCUGUCAGAAGGGAAGAAGUGUAAGGGUGCUAAUCAGCCUUUACUUGACGGUACCUUCAAAGGAAGCACCGGCUAACUCCGUGCCAGCAGCCGCGGUAAUACGGAGGGUGCAAGCGUUAAUCGGAAUCACUGGGCGUAAAGCGCAUGUAGGCUGCCAAGUAAGUCAGAGGUGAAAGCCCACGGCUCACCCGUGGAACUGCCUUUGAUACUGCUAGGCUUGAGUCUGUGAGAGGAUAGUGGAAUUCCAGGUGUAGGGGUGAAAUCCGUAGAUAUCUGGAGGAACAUCAGUGGCGAAGGCGACUAUCUGGUGCAGAACUGACGCUGAGAUGCGAAAGCGUGGGGAUCAAACAGGAUUAGAUACCCUGGUAGUCCACGCUGUAAACGAUGGAUACUAGGUGUCGGGAGCAUGUCUUUCGGUGCCGUAGCUAACGCAUUAAGUAUCCCGCCUGGGGAGUACGGUCGCAAGGCUGAAACUCAAAGAAAUUGACGGGGGCCCGCACAAGCGGUGGAGUAUGUGGUUUAAUUCGAUGCAACGCGAAGAACCUUACCAGGCCUUGACAUCCAAUGAACUUUCCAGAGAUGGAUUGGUGCCUUCGGGAACAUUGAGACAGGUGCUGCAUGGCUGUCGUCAGCUCGUGUCGUGAGAUGUUGGGUUAAGUCCCGUAACGAGCGCAACCCUUGUCCUUAGUUACCAGCACGUUAUGGUGGGCACUCUAAGGAGACUGCCGGUGACAAACCGGAGGAAGGUAGGGAUGACGUCAAGUCAUCAUGGCCCUUACGGCCUGGGCUACACACGUGCUACAAUGGUCGGUACAGAGGGUUGCCAAGCCGCGAGGUGGAGCUAAUCCCACAAAACCGAUCGUAGUCCGGAUCGCAGUCUGCAACUCGACUGCGUGAAGUCGGAAUCGCUAGUAAUCGCGAAUCAGAAUGUCGCGGUGAAUACGUUCCCGGGCCUUGUACACACCGCCCGU